rnacentral:lncRNA from 1 species
CUGCCCAGUCGCUGUUGGGCUGCUGCGGAGCUUCCGCUGCCAUCUUCGGAUCCUGUGUUCCGCCCGGGGCUCCACCAGGGCAGGGAUGGUGGUGAGGGUCGCUCGUGGGUCCCCUGGCAGGGAGCAGGGUCUGGCACUCACAAGGGCGCACGACUAGGACUUGUCGAAUGAAUCCCUUGUCGCCUUUAGCUUUUAGUCCUUUGAAGAGAGCAGAAUGGGGAAAUGGAGAGAGAACCUGAAAGAGCCCCAAACUCGAGGACCUAUUGCUCCCCAAGAAUAACAUCUUCCAGAACUAGACAGAAAACUAGGCGUCUGGGAACCCUGAAAUCCUUGGAGGAGUAGAUCAUCAUGACCCUCUGUGUUCCUUUUGGCAAAUGACUUGCUUCCAUUGUUUGUUUGUUCAAUUGUCUGUUUGUUAAAUAAAUAAAACCCUUUUUAUGUA